UACAGCAACAUUGUAGGUUAUUGUUGGAGAUCCUGUCUUGUAAAUUAACAUUGUAGUUGUUGUUGGGGUGCUUGUCUUGUAUAGCAACAUUGUAGGUUAUUGUUGGAGAUCCUGUCUUGUAUAGCAACAUUGUAGUUAUUGUUGUUGGGGUGCUUGCCUUGUAUAGCAACAUUGUAGUUCUUGUUGGGGUGCAUGCCUUGUACAGCAACAUUGUAGGUUAUUGUUGGAGAUCCUGUCUUGUAAAGCAACAUUGUAGUUGUUGUUGGGGUGCAUGCCUUGUACAGCAACAUUGUAGGUUAUUGUUGGAGAUCCUGUCUUGUAAAUUAACAUUGUAGUUGUUGUUGGGGUGCUUGCCUUGUAUAGCAACAUUGUAGGAAGUUGUUGGAGUACUUGUCUUGUAUAGCAACAUUGUAGGUUAUUAUUGGAGAUCCUGUCUUGUAAAUUAACAUUGUAGUUGUUGUUGGGGUGCUUGCCUUGUAUAGCAACAUUGUAGUUGUUGUUGGGGUGCUUGCCUUGUAUAGCAACAUUGUAGGUUUUUGUUGGAGAUCCUGUCUUGUAUAGCAACAUUGUAGUUGUUGUGCUAGUCGUUGGAAAGUCUUGUCUUGUAUAGCAGCACUGUAGGUUGUUGUUGGAGAUUUUGUCUUGUACAGCAGCAUUGCCGGAAUUUGUUGUUGGAGUGGUUGGUUUGUAAAGCAACAUUGUAUGUUGUUGUUGGAGCGCUUGUCUUGUUAAGCAACAUUAUAUAUUGUUGGAGAUCCAUGUUUCAUCAAUCCCAUCUUUGGAUGUUGUCUUUUUCAAUAUUGUAAUGUGAAAUAAACCCUUUGAAAGUAACACUAUAAAUAUAUUGUACCGUGUGCGGAACGGUUGUACUAUUACCAUCCUUAAACCCGCAAGUCUUUGAUCUUUUACAGAAUACAGACAUCAUAAAAUGUUAAUACUGUUUAGUUAACACUCAGUAUCAUUCGUCAGUCUAUUUCAGGUCUUUGCGGAAAUGGAAGCUCAUUAAAGGCAAAGAUCUCUGCACCAGUACCCAAAAGAACAUUGACUCACAUCAAGAGGUCGCUACAGAAAGGGAGAAGGAAACGAGAGACUUCAGGAUGAUAUUUCAUCCUUCCUGUGUAUGGAAAAGGAAAGUGCAUAUGACAGAGGAAGGAGUAGAAUAACCGCUUUAAUUAUUUACAGUUAUCCGCGUAUGUAAGAAAUGUCUUCGAUUGUCCUGUAUGUGACUCUUCAAAUCAUAUUUAAGCGAGUGAGUUGAGUUUAACGCCACUUUGAACAUUAUUCCAGUUAUAUAACGGUGUGUCAGCUUAAUGUGGGAGGAGGAAACCCACGGUGCUGAGUGCUGACAAACCUAGAAACUUUAUCUGUGCGGACUGGGAUUUGAACCCACAACUCUGCACAACUCACCGAGACGACUGGGCCACUCAUCCACCCUGAUGCUUAAGGUCAUACUUUCUAUAUUUUUAGUAGAUUAAAACUACACAAUUCUGUCUUA